UGUAGGACUGCUGCUGCUGCUGACACUCUUCAUCGCCGGACUCUUCAUCUGGAAAAUACGGAACAAUAACGGAUUCAGACCUGCAAAGACUUCAGAAUUGUCAGAGCUGUCGGACAACACUUCAGCUCCUAACUGAUCACAGUGAG